rnacentral:sRNA from 2 species
GCGCCGUUCAAUGGGGAGUAGCCGGUUUCUGAAGCAUUAAUUCAGAAACGCCCGUAUCAACAUACUCGUUUCAUUCAUCGAAACGUGGUGCGGGCAGCCAGAUAAGGUUGGCGAGACCAUAGACACGUAACUCCGUCGUAAGGUUGGGGGUGGGUUGCGUGUAUAUGGAGCCACCCGGCCG